rnacentral:rRNA from 2 species
AAAUUGAAGAGUUUGAUCAUGGCUCAGAUUGAACGCUGGCGGCAGGCCUAACACAUGCAAGUCGAACGGUAGCACAGAGAGCUUGCUCUCGGGUGACGAGUGGCGGACGGGUGAGUAAUGUCUGGGAAACUGCCCGAUGGAGGGGGAUAACUACUGGAAACGGUAGCUAAUACCGCAUAACGUCGCAAGACCAAAGUGGGGGACCUUCGGGCCUCACACCAUCGGAUGUGCCCAGAUGGGAUUAGCUAGUAGGUGGGGUAACGGCUCACCUAGGCGACGAUCCCUAGCUGGUCUGAGAGGAUGACCAGCCACACUGGAACUGAGACACGGUCCAGACUCCUACGGGAGGCAGCAGUGGGGAAUAUUGCACAAUGGGCGCAAGCCUGAUGCAGCCAUGCCGCGUGUAUGAAGAAGGCCUUCGGGUUGUAAAGUACUUUCAGCGAGGAGGAAGGCGUUGUGGUUAAUAACCACAGCGAUUGACGUUACUCGCAGAAGAAGCACCGGCUAACUCCGUGCCAGCAGCCGCGGUAAUACGGAGGGUGCAAGCGUUAAUCGGAAUUACUGGGCGUAAAGCGCACGCAGGCGGUUUGUUAAGUCAGAUGUGAAAUCCCCGGGCUCAACCUGGGAACUGCAUUUGAAACUGGCAAGCUUG